CGUAGGACUCCUGGCUCAACUGGAGAAGAUCAAUGCUGAGCCUUCAGAAUCAGACACUGCCCGAUAUGUUACAUCAAAAAUUCUUCAUCUGGCUCAGAGUCAAGAAAAAACAAGGAGAGAAAUGACAGCCAAAGGUUCUACAGGAAUGGAAAUUCUGCUGUCAACAUUAGAGGUGGAGGUCGAAGAGUGAGUUUCUUAGUCACCAAAGGUGGUUCACAAAUAUUGUUGCAGUUACUUAUGAAUGCCAGCAAAGAAUCUCCCCCACAUGAGGACUUAAUGGUACAGAUUCAUUCUAUUCUUGCAAAGAUUGGACCAAAAGAUAAAAAAUUUGGAGUAAAGGCUAGAAUUAAUGGGGCUCUGAAUAUAACCCUGAAUUUGGUCAAGCAGAAUUUGCAGAAUCAUCGCUUGGUUCUACCUUGCCUUCAGCUUUUACGAGUAUAUUCUGCCAACUCUGUGAAUUCAGUAUCCUUAGGGAAAAAUGGAGUUGUGGAACUGAUGUUUAAAAUCAUUGGACCAUUUAGUAAGAAGAAUUCCAGUCUUAUAAAGGUUGCUUUAGACACUCUUGCUGCAUUGCUAAAAUCAAAAACAAAUGCCAGGAGAGCUGUAGACAGAGGAUAUGUCCAAGUGCUUUUAACAAUUUAUGUAGAUUGGCACCGCCAUGAUAACCGGCAUAGAAACAUGCUCAUUCGGAAAGGAAUUUUACAGAGUUUAAAAAGUGUUACAAACAUCAAGUUGGGAAGAAAAGCAUUUAUUGAUGCCAAUGGGAUGAAAAUUCUGUAUAAUACUUCG
rnacentral:ncRNA from 2 species